rnacentral:rRNA from 1 species
UACGUAGGGGGCUAGCGUUGUCCGGAAUCAUUGGGCGUAAAGAGCGUGUAGGCGGUCCGGUAAGUCCGCUGUGAAAGUCGGGGGCUCAACCCUCGAAUGCCGGUGGAUACUGUCGGGCUAGAGUGCGGGAGAGGCGAGUGGAAUUCCUGGUGUAGCGGUGAAAUGCGCAGAUAUCAGGAGGAACACCAAUUGCGAAGGCAGCUCGCUGGAACGUUACUGACGCUGAGACGCGAAAGCGUGGGGAGCAAACAGG